GGGCUCGGGGCCGGCGGCCGCUCAUAACGGUCUGGUUGCAGGUUCGAGUCCUGCCGGGCCCACCA
rnacentral:tRNA from 1 species